UGGGGAAUUUUGGACAAUUGGGCGAAAGCCUGAUCCAGCAAUGCCGCGUGUGUGAAGAAGGCCUUCGGGUUGUAAAGCACUUUUGUCCGGAAAGAAAUCCUUGGCUCUAAUACAGUCGGGGGAUGACGGUACCGGAAGAAUAAGCACCGGCUAACUACGUGCCAGCAGCCGCGGUAAUACGUAGGGUGCAAGCGUUAAUCGGAAUUACUGGGCGUAAAGCGUGCGCAGGCGGUUUGCUAAGACCGAUGUGAAAAUCCCCGGGCUCAACCUGGGAACUGCAUUGGUGACUGGCAGGCUAGAGUAUGGCAGAGGGGGGUAGAAUUCCACGUGUAGCAGUGAAAUGCGUAGAGAUGUGGAGGAAUACCGAUGGCGAAGGCAGCCCCCUGGGCAAUACUGACGCUCAUGCACGAAAGCGUGGGGAGCAAACAGGAUUAGAUACCCUGGUAGUCCACGCCCUAAACGAUGUCAACUAGUUGUUGGGGAUUCAUUUCCUUAGUAACGUAGCUAACGCGUGAAGUUGACCGCCUGGGGAGUACGUCGCAAGAUUAAAA
rnacentral:rRNA from 1 species